UACAAGGUGCUGCAUGGUUGUCGUCAGCUCGUGCCGUGAGGUGUCGGGUUAAGUCCCAUAACGAGCGCAACCCUAUCAUUAGUUGCCAUCAGGUCAAGCUGGGGACUCUAAUGAAACUGCCUACGCAAGUAGUGAGGAAGGUGGGGAUGACGUCAAAUCAGCACGGCCCUUACGUCCAGGGCUACACACGUGCUACAAUGGCCGGUACAAAGGGCAGCUACCUGGUGACAGGAUGCUAAUCUCAAAAGCCGGUCUCAGUUCGGAUCGGAGUCUGCAACCCGACUCCGUGAAGCUGGAAUCGCUAGUAAUCGUGGAUCAGCAUGCCACGGUGAAUACGUUCCCGGGCCUU
rnacentral:rRNA from 1 species